rnacentral:rRNA from 1 species
ACGUAGGGGGCAAGCGUUAUCCGGAUUUACUGGGUGUAAAGGGAGCGUAGACGGCAGCGCAAGUCUGAAGUGAAAGCCCGGGGCUCAACCCCGGAAUGGCUUUGGAAACUGUGCAGCUAGAGUACCGGAGGGGUAAGCGGAAUUCCUAGUGUAGCGGUGAAAUGCGUAGAUAUUAGGAGGAACACCAGUGGCGAAGGCGGCUUACUGGACGGUAACUGACGUUGAGGCUCGAAAGCGUGGGGAGCAAACAG